AUACGCGUGAUGGCACAGCGUGCGCACGUUCAAACUUUCGGGAAAGUUUGAACGUGCGCACGCUGUGCCAUCACGCGUAU